rnacentral:rRNA from 1 species
GAUGAACGCUGGCGGCGUGCCUAAUACAUGCAAGUCGAGCGAAUGGAUUAAGAGCUUGCUCUUAUGAAGUUAGCGGCGGACGGGUGAGUAACACGUGGGUAACCUGCCCAUAAGACUGGGAUAACUCCGGGAAACCGGGGCUAAUACCGGAUAACAUUUUGAACCGCAUGGUUCGAAAUUGAAAGGCGGCUUCGGCUGUCACUUAUGGAUGGACCCGCGUCGCAUUAGCUAGUUGGUGAGGUAACGGCUCACCAAGGCAACGAUGCGUAGCCGACCUGAGAGGGUGAUCGGCCACAAUGGGACUGAGACACGGCCCAGACUCCUACGGGAGGCAGCAGGAGGGAAUCUUCCGCAAUGGACGAAAGUCUGACGGAGCAACGCCGCGUGAGUGAUGAAGGCUUUCGGGUCGUAAAACUCUGUUGUUAGGGAAGAACAGGUGCUAGUUGAAUAAGCUGGCACCUUGACGGUACCUAACCAGAAAGCCACGGCUAACUACGUGCCAGCCGCCGCGGUAA